AUUGAACGCUGGCGGCAGGCCUAACACAUGCAAGUCGAGCGGAGCGGCGGGCGGGUGAGUAAUGCCUAGGAGUCUGCCUGGUAGUGGGGGAUAACGUCCGGAAACGGGGGCUAAUACCGCAUACUAUCAGAUGAGCCUAGGUCGGAUUAGCUAGUUGGGGGGGUAACGGCCUACCAAGGCGACGAUCCGUAACUGGUCUGAGAGGAUGAUCAGUCACACUGGAACUGAGACACGGUCCAGAAUCCUACGGGAGGCAGCAGGGGGGAAUAUUGGACAAUGGGCGAAAGCCUGAGCCAGCCAUGCCGCGUGUGUGAAGAAGGUCUUGGGAUUGUAAAGCACUUUAAGUUGGGAGGCGUUACCAACAGAAUACGCACCGGCUAACUUCGUGCCAGCAGCCGCGGUAAUAC
rnacentral:rRNA from 1 species